rnacentral:misc_RNA from 1 species
GAUGAAGAACGUAUUGAAAUGCGAUAAGUAAUGUGAAUUGCAGAAUUCAGUGAAUCAUCGAAUCUUUGAACGCACAUUGCGCCCGCCAGUAUUCUGGCGGGCAUGCCUGUUCGAGCGUCAUUUCAACCAUCAAGCCCCAGGCUUGUGUUGGAGCCCUGCGGCUGCCGCAGCCUCCCAAAACCAGUGGCGGGCUCGCUAUCACACCGAGUGCAGUAGUUUACUCUUCGCUCAGGGCGUGUGGCGGGUGCUAGCCGUAAAACCCCCAACUUCUCAAGGUUGACCUCGGAUCAGGUAGGAAUACCCGCUGAACUUAAGCAUAUCAAUAAGCGGAGGA